UGGAAAAAAAUCUUUAGGAGAGCCUCAGGAAUUUCAGCCUCACUUCUUUAACUCCUGUGUCAUCUUUCAGCGCAUGGGUCGGAACGAAAGCUUUGAUGGGAUUUCUGUCUGGAGCUGAAACAGAAAGCAAAGUUAUCAGUGCAGACUGAAGAUUUUGAAGGCAUCUGAAGAGGAAACCACUCAUGAAUGUCCUCAGAGAAUUUGCUUCCAAUUUCAAGUUGUUCUCUCCUCUGAGAGCAGAAGACCCCACUGGACUUCUCAAAAACAUCUAUAAUGCAGUGAGAAAAUUUUCAGCACAGCAGAGUUUUUCAUCACAAAAACAACAAAGCCACAUGGGUGGCAUUUGUCCCCAGCUGUAAAUAUCUCCCAUGAAAACAGCUGCUGCUGCUCUGAUGUCCUUUGCCUGCCCCUCAAUAAAUGCUCAUUGUGAGCAUUUUCAGAGUGUGAUCACAGCUUUUGAUUUUAGACAUUUACACUGCACUGCCUCCAUUUAAACCAACGUUUUAGGCUGCCUGGGCUGCCUAGCUCCAGAGUCAGCACUUACCUUCCUCUGGAAAUCCUGAUUCUCUGGCCAUGAGAGCUGCACAGCUGCCAGUGACAGAACUGUUAUUACCCUUUUUUUUGACACUUCUGGGACGUGAAAUAAUAAAGAUUACUAUCUUCCAACCCAGACACAAAAGGAAAUUUCCCAGACAACUGCUAAACCAGCCUGCAUCAGGAAGCAGAGUUGGGUUUUUUUUUUCUUUUUUAUUCCCUUGUGCCACAAAGUUUGACAGCAGCAUCUCUCCAGAGGAUGCAGCAUUGUGGACCACAAAGUCUUCACCACUGCCUUCUCUCUGACACAUAGCAUGGAGUGCCAGGGAAAAGCAGGGAAAAGGAACAGAAAAGUUGUCUCUCAUCAGGAGCAUCUUCUGCCAGAAGGCAAAAUUCAGACAAAUUCUUCCAAACUGGCCUUUUUUUUUUCUCCCCAAGCUUUUGCUGGAGAGAGAAGCCACACACUCUGCUGAUAGCAGCAGCAAACUUCCAGCAGAAUAAAUAUAUUAAUAACUGCCCUUCUCAUAUCAGUACUAGAUAUUAACCAAAUAAACAUCAAUGCAUUCUGAGGGAAAGUCAUUUUUGUGAGAAGGGGGGGUAUGAACCCUUACCAUAAAAUAGAAGAAAAUCUUAUGUCUUUCUCCAAACAAAUACUCUUCUCAAAUACUUUUCAUUUAAACCCAGUUCUCUUGUGAAAUAUUUUGUUUCUCAAUCUCAGAAAACGCCACCACACUGAGUGUGAAACUCCAAAUAUUAUUCAUUUUUCUAUGUGUGCAUAUUUAGCAACAAUUGUCCUUUUGAAUUUCCUGUGCCCAGUGCAUCACUGGGAGGCCGACCAACUUUUUUUCCCUUUUUUUUUUUUGUCCUGCACAUUGUGUUACAUAAAAUAAUUUGUCUGCCAGGAAUAAGGGGCAUGACACACCAUGGGCAUUACUGUGCUAAUGAAAGCCUUGGUAGUUCAUCACAAACACAGGAGGUGAAUAAACCAUUGUUAUGGCCAUAGGAAUA